GUGUGAUGCUUGACUUGCUGAAGACACGAGAAUAACCCUAGUCUAAAAUGGGGUGGUUUGCCAGCUCUAUUUCAAAAAUCUCGAACUCCUCAAACUUUUUCUGAAGAAACUAAUAUCAACUCGUUGCCGUCACCUAAAACUUUAACAUCCCCAAUUUAAAUCAGAUUAGCCCUCUUUAAGAAUCUGAUAGUCCUACAGUAAUAGGGCCAUAUAGAUUCCACAAAAUCAAGGUACAUAUCCAUGAACCACUCUUCAAAUUCCUUCAACCUUCUCCUUGAUAACUCUUUGUAGUCUAGGUUCUUAAUGCUUCCAACAGGUUGGAACACACGAGCUUCUACAUCUUGUUUAAGCUUCCCCUGAGAAAUAUAGCUAGAGGCCACCAAAUAGUAAGUAGGCAAGUUUUUUGUUAGUUUAACCGUCUGCUUAAAGCUGAAGACAUAGAGAGUCCACAAAACUCGGAGCACAUUGAUGUAGAACACAACAAUUAGUGGCCCCAAAAUCCACAAAGGAGUCAACUCCUUUGACACAUCAACCCCAUAAAUGACGUUGACUGCAAGGUACAGAGGGAUGAAAAUCAGUAAGGGUAUCUUUAUUGUUGCA
rnacentral:misc_RNA from 1 species